rnacentral:rRNA from 1 species
AGAGUUUGAUCCUGGCUCAGAACGAACGCUGGCGGCAUGCCUAACACAUGCAAGUCGAACGAGACCUUCGGGUCUAGUGGCGCACGGGUGCGUAACGCGUGGGAAUCUGCCCUUGGGUUCGGAACAACAGUUGGAAACGACUGCUAAUACCGGAUGAUGACUUCGGUCCAAAGAUUUAUCGCCCAAGGAUGAGCCCGCGUAGGAUUAGCUUGUUGGUGAGGUAAAAGCUCACCAAGGCGACGAUCCUUAGCUGGUCUGAGAGGAUGAUCAGCCACACUGGGACUGAGACACGGCCCAGACUCCUACGGGAGGCAGCAGUGGGGAAUCUUGGACAAUGGGCGCAAGCCUGAUCCAGCCAUGCCGCGUGAGUGACGAAGGCCUUAGGGUUGUAAAGCUCUUUUGCCGGGGACGAUAAUGACGGUACCCGGAGAAUAAGUCCCGGCUAGCUUCGUGCCAGCAGCCGCGGUAAUAC